CUAGCCCUAAACGAUGUAGACUUGGCGUCGGUGGUUUAAACGCCAUCGGUGUCGCAGCUAACGCGAUAAGUCUACCGCCUGGGGACUACGGCCGCAAGGUUAAAACUCAAAGGAAUUGACGGGUCCCCGCACAAGCAGCGGAGCGUGUGGUUUAAUUCGUUGCUACACGAAGAACCUUACCUGGGUUUGACAUAGCAGUGGUAGGGAAGCGAAAGCGGACCGACCCUUCGGGGAGCUGUUACAGGUGU
rnacentral:rRNA from 1 species